GAUGAAGAACGUAGUGAAAUGCGAUACGUAAUGUGAAUUGCAGAUUUCAGUGAAUCAUCGAAUCUUUGAACGCACAUUGCGCCCGCCAGUAUUCUGGCGGGCAUGCCUGUUCGAGCGUCAUUUCAACCAUCAAGCCUUCGCUUGUGUUGGGGCCCCGCGGCUGCCGCGGUCCCCUAAAUCCAGUGGCGGGCUCGUCGUCGUACCGAGCGCAGUAGACAUCCUCGCUCUGGAACCCGACGGGUGCCGGCCGUGAAACCCCCCACAUCAAGGUUGACCUCGGAUCAGGUAGGAAUACCCGCUGAACUUAAGCAUAUCAAUAAGCGGAGGA
rnacentral:misc_RNA from 1 species